UUAACUUCCUGUUGUGAGGUCAAAUUUCCAUACCUAAUUAGUGGAUGAAAUUGUUCAUCUGUCACCUGACAACAAUGUUCAUCUAUGACUGUGAUGUCAUUUCCAUGGAGACCACUGUAGUCUGAUGAGUAGAAACUAAUCAUGUCUCCAGGAUCUUGUUUUGUUCUUGGAUCUAACAAAAUGUGGAAGCUCUGCUUUCCUUCUGCUGGCAGAUUCUUUAAUGGGUAUUCUUUCUAGGGUGAUAACAAGGGUCAAGUGUUCUUGCUGUGAGAGAAAGGCAGCAGAGCUGGGCAGUUUUGUAUGCUGUGGAAUCUUCUCGGGUCUCACUGUGUGUGUUCAGGGGAAUGUGAUGAACUGGGAAGAGGAAGACCAUCAUUGCAUAACUUCCACUGAUGGAGUCUGCACAGGCAAGCUACCACCAUUCCAUAUCAUGGCUUUUAUGUGCUGUCUCAUCCUGGUUUCCGCUGUUUAAUGUGUAAUAUUUCCUCUUAUGCUGCCUUCCAGUAUAAAAGCAAAGGAUUUAAUCUCUGCAUCCCAGAAGCUGGAGCUGGUAGAGAAGAAUACAUUGUGAUGUGACAUCUGUCAGACAGAAAGGGUGACUGGAACAUGGUGACAUUAUGGGUAAGUCACUUGUCUUCCUGCAUCCUUAUCCAUUAAGGGCGAUCACACUAUCCAGUCUUUUGUUCAUCAGCAAACCUUUGAGGCAUCAAUGCCUUGUCAUCUCAGAUGGAUGGUAGGACCAUGUACUUUGCAGUAAAUUAUAUUAUAUCAACUGUUCCAGGACUUCCUGGUCGGUGUUAUACUGGAGGCACUCUGACCUGGUGAGUGCCUGCAUGUCUAAACUUUCUGAUAUUACUGUGAAUAUAUUCCCUUCACUUGAACCCUUCUAAGAACAGAGUCUCCAACACAUUUUCUCUAUGUCUAAAGAGGACCACAUCAUAUCCCAUCCCAUUAUAUUUCUUUCAUGAACUAUCACACAGAACUGAGA
rnacentral:lncRNA from 1 species